rnacentral:rRNA from 1 species
AUACGGAGGGAGCAAGCGUUAUUCGGAAUCACUGGGCGUAAAGGACGCGUAGGCGGGUUGGUAAGUCAGGUGUGAAAUCCUACAGCUUAACUGUAGAACUGCACUUGAAACUACCAACCUAGAGUAUGGGAGGGGGAGAUGGAAUUAGUGGUGUAGGGGUAAAAUCCGUAGAUAUCACUAGGAAUACCGAAAGCGAAGGCGAUCUGCUGGGACAUUACUGACGCUGAGGCGUGAAAGCGUGGGGAGCAAACAGGAUUAGAUACCCCAGUAGUCC